rnacentral:rRNA from 1 species
CCAGACUCCUACGGGAGGCAGCAGUGGGGGAUAUUGCACAAUGGGGGAAACCCUGAUGCAGCGACGCCGCGUGUGGGAAGACGGUCCUCUGGAUUGUAAACCACUGUCCCCAGGGACGAAGAUGACGGUACCUGGGGAGGAAGCUCCGGCUAACUACGUGCCAGCAGCCGCGGUAAUACGUAGGGAGCGAGCGUUAUCCGGAUUUACUGGGUGUAAAGGGGGCGCAGACGGCAGCGCAAGCCAGGAGUGAAAGCCCGGGGCCCAACCCCGGGACUGCUUUGGAAACUGAGCAGCUAGAGUGCAGGAGAGGUAAGUGGAAUUCCUAGUGUAGCGGUGAAAUGCGUAGAUAUCAGGAGGAACACCGGUGGCGAAGGCGGCCUGCUGGACUGCGACUGACGUUGAGGCCCGAAAGCGUGGGGAGCAAACAGGAUUAGAUACCCCGGUAA